CAGCCGCCGCGGUAAUACGGAGGGUGCAAGCGUUAAUCGGAAUUACUGGGCGUAAAGCGCACGCAGGCGGUUUGUUAAGUCAGAUGCGAAAUCCCCGGGCUCAACCUGGGAACUGCAUCUGAUACUGGCAAGCUUGAGUCUCGUAGAGGGGGGUAGAAUUCCAGGUGUAGCGGUGAAAUGCGUAGAGAUCUGGAGGAAUACCGGUGGCGAAGGCGGCCCCCUGGACGAAGACUGACGCUCAGGUGCGAAAGCGUGGGGAGCAAACAGGAUUAGAUACCCUGGUAGUCCACGCCGUAAACGAUGUCGACUUGGAGGUUGUGCCCUUGAGGCGUGGCUUCCGGAGCUAACGCGUUAAGUCGACCGCCUGGGGAGUACGGCCGCAAGGUUAAACUCAAAUGAAUUGACGG
rnacentral:rRNA from 1 species